rnacentral:rRNA from 1 species
AUGGCUCUCCGCCGCGCCAUCGGGUCCCUCGCCGUCCGCUCGCAGGCAUCAUACUGCCUCCGCCGCGCCGCCGCCUCGCCCCCCACCCUCACGCCUCCUCCNNNNNNNNNNNNNNNNNNNNNNNNNNNNNNNNNNNNNNNNNNNNNNNNNNNNNNNNNNNNNNNNNNNNNNGUCAAGAAGGUGGCCAAGCACGACGACGACGACGCCGGGCCCCGGCUCAACAACGACAUCACCGCUCCCUUCCUCCGGCUCGUCACCGACCAAGGGCAUGAUGUUGUCCCCAGGCACGAGGCCCUUCAGAUGGCUGCCAGGAUGGGGCUGGACCUGGUUGAGGUUGACCGGAAAUCGGACCCUCCGGUUUGCAAGAUCAUCGACUUCCACAAGGAGAAGUACAUCAAGGAUGUCAAGGACAAAGAGCGCCUAAAAGCCAAGUCUGCUAUUACUUUGCGUUGUGGAGAUAUCAAAGAAGUGCGGUUUAAGGCGAAAACAGAAAUUAAAGACUUGAAGGUGAAAGCAGAUGCAAUUACCAGGCUGAUGGACCGUGGUUACAGGGUGAAGUGCAUGGCGAUGCCCGCAGGUAACGAAGCCGAAGAUUUAGGCGGACCGCUAUCUCGCUUAUUAGGACUGAUUCAAGAUGUCUGUACCGUGGAAAGCGGGCCGCAUUUGGACUCCAAGCAUGCAUAUGUUAUUGUCAGGCACGUGAAGUUUGCAACCAAGAAAGGUGGAAAGAAAGCAAGCAAGGCCAUGGAAGACGCAAGCAAAGGCAGCCCCCGCACCGCUACCUCCGAAUCGCCACCCGCUGCUACUGAUAGCGGGGACGACACAAGUGAACAUGGUCUGGAAGCUGAGGAUGUUGACAAAGCUCCCGCCUAUACCCCCCGUGAAUCUUCACCGCAAAAGAAAGGGCAAGAUAGAGGGUUUAGAGGCAGCAACCGCGGUAACUUGGACAAGAGCACUGGUGCUGGAGGAAACAGGAUUAACCCUGGUCAGGGUGGACCACAACCAUCGCAAUAUGGACUUGGUUCCAGGAAUGGUAGUCCUGAAAUGGAAAAGCUAAAGCAGGCUAAGGCUAAUGAAGGCAUGACACCCGAGCAGACAAACAGGUAUGCCAGCCGUAGGCAGCAGCCCGGAGGCGUAGACAGCCAAGGCAGACCACCACAGCAGGACCCUAGGAGAGGUGAACAUGAAGGCCGCUAUCAAAGGCCUCCUUUGGAACAGCCGAGCCCACCACCGCCAAGGUUCAACCAAGGAAGACCCCCGCAGCAAGACCUGAGAAGAAACGAGAACAACGAAGACAGGUAUUGCCGUCCCCAGGACAACCAAAGGCCACCUCUGCAACAGCCUGGCCCGCCGCCCCCAAGGUUCAGCCAAGGCAGCAGACCCCCGCAGCAGGACCCGAGGGGAAACGAGAGAGGAGGCCAUGUCCCGCCGUAUAGCAGCCAGCGGCCGCAGUUCCAGCAAUCGAAUCCGAACGCCGAGCCAUCAGCAGGGAACCCUGCUUCGACAGCAGCCAGAAGCGUGGGCGUAUUCAGCAGCCGAAAGCCAGGCACGGCAUCCGAGCCGAAGAAGACGGCGGACGGCGGUCUGUCUGGUGGUGCCGGUAAGCCUGCCGAUACCGGCCCGGCCAAAAGCUUCGGGAUAUUCAGUAAACCUAAAAAGGGAAGCUCAUGA